UUUAACAGUCUUAUAAACAAACAUGCAGCAAACAACUUUCUUGCUCUUUUCUCUGUUAAAGUAGUGAAAACUGCCUGCCUGAGAAUGGCCUGGAGAUAUGAUUCUUGCAGAGUGAAAAGCACAAGAAAUCCCCAUUCAACAGAACAGUGGCUUGGUCAGGGUUGGGCAGAAUCCUUUGUAUCUUAACCUAUAAGGCUGGCCAUUCACUCCCUGGGGGAUGGGACAACCGCUUGAUUAACAAAGGGCAGUUGAUCAUCUACUCUGUGAGUCUGAAGAAGGAAAGUGAAAGCAUUUUAUGCCAUACUACUUCUAAAAGUCAGAAAUCUGUGCGAACAGCCAAAACCUCCGUAAAAGGGAUCAUCUCUUCCUUCAGAAUCAUCACCAGACUGGGCAACUGCUUUGGCAUUCUGGUGUCAUCCAUCCUCAACACAUGACCAGCCCAGCAUAACGGUGAUGCAAUGAGUAUGGCUUCGAUCCCAGUGGAGUGGCUGCAUUCCAGAACAAUCAAAAGGUCAAAGGGAAGAACUCUAUAUGCAGAACAACAGUUGCACAGGCACAACAGAAGAUCAAGCAACAUAUCAGGUAUUUCCUAAAGGAGGAUGGGAAGCCAACAGGAAGGGAAAAGACAGUAUGAGGUCAUCCUGUCUCUUGAACUAAAGUAACUGAACUUUGAAAGAUACAAGAAAAGACAGAAGACAUCUUUGCCAUCCAUCAUUAGACAGACAAAAGAGGCCAGAGCUCUUUGAAGCUGAGAAAGAUGGGGCCUUUAAC